rnacentral:rRNA from 1 species
UACGAAGGGGGCUAGCGUUGCUCGGAAUUACUGGGCGUAAAGGGAGCGUAGGCGGGUUAUCAAGUUGGGGGUGAAAGCCCGGGGCUCAACCUCGGAAUUGCCUUCAAAACUGAUAACCUGGAGUAUGGAAGAGGUAAGUGGAACUCCGAGUGUAGAGGUGAAAUUCGUAGAUAUUCGGAAGAACACCAGUGGCGAAGGCGGCAACCUGGUCCUUGACUGACGCUGAGGCGCGAAAGCGUGGGGAGUAAACAGG